rnacentral:rRNA from 1 species
GACGAACGCUGGCGGCGUGCUUAACACAUGCAAGUCGAACGGUAAGGCCCUUCGGGGUACACGAGUGGCGAACGGGUGAGUAACACGUGGGUGAUCUGCCCUGCACUUCGGGAUAAGCCCGGGAAACUGGGUCUAAUACCGGAUAGGACCACUGCCUGCAUGGGUGGUGGUGGAAAGCUUUUGCGGCGUGGGAUGGGCCCGCGGCCUAUCAGCCUGUUGGUGGGGUGAUGGCCUAACAAGGCGACUACGGGUAGCCGGCCUGAGAGGGUGACCGGCCAGACUGGGAGUGAGAUACGGCCGAGAAUCCUACGGAAGGCAGGAGUGGUGAAUAUUGCACAAGGGGCGCAAGCCUGAUGCAGCGACGCCGCGUGAGGGAUGACGGCCUUCUGGUUGUAAACCUCUUUCAGCACCGACGAAGCGCAAGUGACGGUAGGUGCGGAAGAAGGACCGGCCAACUACGUGCCAGCCGCCGCGGUAA